CUAUGUGGCCACACCGGCUUGUCAAAGCCUGAAUUUGUCAGAUCUCAGAAGCUAAGCAGGGCUGAGUCUGGUUCGUACUUGGAUGGGAGAUGAUUGGGAAUACCAGGUGUCACAGC
rnacentral:rRNA from 1 species